GAGGAGUGGCGAACGGGUGAGUAACACGUGGGUAACCUGCCCAUCAGAAGGGGAUAACACUUGGAAACAGGUGCUAAUACCGUAUAACAGUAGAAACCGCAUGGUUUCUAUUUGAAAGGCGCUUUUGCGUCACUGAUGGAUGGACCCGCGGUGCAUUAGCUAGUUGGUGAGGUAACGGCUCACCAAGGCAACGAUGCAUAGCCGACCUGAGAGGGUGAUCGGCCACAUUGGGACUGAGACACGGCCCAAACUCCUACGGGAGGCAGCAGUAGGGAAUCUUCGGCAAUGGACGAAAGUCUGACCGAGCAACGCCGCGUGAGUGAAGAAGGUUUUCGGAUCGUAAAACUCUGUUGUUAGAGAAGAACAAGGAUGAGAGUAAAACGUUCAUCCCUUGACGGUAUCUAACCAGAAAGCCACGGCUAACUACGUGCCAGCAGCCGCGGUAAUACGUAGGUGGCAAGCGUUGUCCGGAUUUAUUGGGCGUAAAGCGAGCGCAGGCGGUUUCUUAAGUCUGAUGUGAAAGCCCCCGGCUCAACCGGGGAGGGUCAUUGGAAACUGGGAAACUUGAGUGCAGAAGAGGAGAGUGGAAUUCCAUGUGUAGCGGUGAAAUGCGUAGAUAUAUGGAGGAACACCAGUGGCGAAGGCGGCUCUCUGGUCUGUAACUGACGCUGAGGCUCGAAAGCGUGGGGAGCAAACAGGAUUAGAUACCCUGGUAGUCCACGCCGUAAACGAUGAGUGCUAAGUGUUGGAGGGUUUCCGCCCUUCAGUGCUGCAGCUAACGCAUUAAGCACUCCGCCUGGGGAGUACGACCGCAAGGUUGAAACUCAAAGGAAUUGACGGGGGCCCGCACAAGCGGUGGAGCAUGUGGUUUAAUUCGAAGCAACGCGAAGAACCUUACCAGGUCUUGACAUCCUUUGACCACUCUAGAGAUAGAGCUUCCCCUUCGGGGGCAAAGUGACAGGUGGUGCAUGGUUGUCGUCAGCUCGUGUCGUGAGAUGUUGGGUUAAGUCCCGCAACGAGCGCAACCCUUAUUGUUAGUUGCCAUCAUUUAGUUGGGCACUCUAGCGAGACUGCCGGUGACAAACCGGAGGAAGGUGGGGAUGACGUCAAAUCAUCAUGCCCCUUAUGACCUGGGCUACACACGUGCUACAAUGGGAAGUACAACGAGUCGCGAAGUCGCGAGGCUAAGCUAAUCUCUUAAAGCUUCUCUCAGUUCGGAUUGUAGGCUGCAACUCGCCUACAUGAAGCCGGAAUCGCUAGUAAUCGCGGAUCAGC
rnacentral:rRNA from 1 species